GGCUAAAUACUCCUGACUGACCGAUAGUGAACCAGUACCGUGAGGGAAAGGCGAAAAGAACCCCGGCGAGGGGAGUGAAAAAGAACCUGAAACCGUGUACGUACAAGCAGUGGGAGCNAGAACCCCGGCGAGGGGAGUGAAAAAGAACCUGAAACCGUGUACGUACAAGCAGUGGGAGCACAGGUUUACCUGUGUGACUGCGUACCUUUUGUAUAAUGGGUCAGCGACUUAUAUUCUGUAGCAAGGUUAACCGAAUAGGGGAGCCGGAGGGAAACNAUUCUCUGGUGUUGAAGGCCCUGCAAAGCAGCAUCGCGGUGGCGGAGCGUCGUUUGCGACGCCCAACACACAAAACAAGCGGUGAGUGCUUUGGGGUGGGGUGACUGCGUACCUUUUGUAUAAUGGGUCAGCGACUUAUAUUCUGUAGCAAGGUUAACCGAAUAGGGGAGCCGGAGGGAAACCGAGUCUUAANAACCAGUACCGUGAGGGAAAGGCGAAAAGAACCCCGGCGAGGGGAGUGAAAAAGAACCUGAAACCGUGUACGUACAAGCAGUGGGAGCCCCACCACCAAAGCGUUUCGCUUUGUGUGGUGCACAAAGAAGCGUAACGACAGCACUGAAUGACGGUUAACGGAGCGCAAGCGACGUUCAACAUACAAAGUCAAGCAGUGGAGCGCUUUGGGGUGGGGUGACUGCGUACCUUUUGUAUAAUGGGUCAGCGACUUAUAUUCUGUAGCAAGGUUAACCGAAUAGGGGAGCCGGAGGGAAACCGAGUCUUAACCGGGCGUUAAGUUGCAGGGUAUAGACCCGAAACCCGGUGAUCUAGCCAUGGGCAGGUUGAAGGUUGGGUAACACUAACUGGAGGACCGAACCGACUAAUGUUGAAAAAUUAGCGGAUGACCUGUGGCUGGGGGUGAAAGGCCAAUCAAACCGGGAGAUAGCUGGUUCUCCCCGAAAGCUAUUUAGGUAGCGCCUCGUGAAUUCAUCUCCGGGGGUAGAGCACUGUUUCGGCUAGGGGGCCAUCCCGGCUUACCAACCCGAUGCAAACUGCGAAUACCGGAGAAUGUUAUCACGGGAGACACACGGCGGGUGCUAACGUCCGUCGUGAAGAGGGAAACAACCCAGACCGCCAGCUAAGGUCCCAAAGUCAUGGUUAAGUGGGAAACGAUGUGGGAAGGCCCAGACAGCCAGGAUGUUGGCUUAGAAGCAGCCAUCAUUUAAAGAAAGCGUAAUAGCUCACUGGUCGAGUCGGCCUGCGCGGAAGAUGUAACGGGGCUAAACCAUGCACCGAAGCUGCGGCAGCGACGCUUAUGCGUUGUUGGGUAGGGGAGCGUUCUGUAAGCCUGUGAAGGUGGCCUNACGUAUCACCCAAGACAACUUUACGGAGUUGACGAUUGACGGAGCGAAGCGACGUCAAAGCGUUCAUUAAAGUCGAGUUGGCUUAGGGAUACGUUCGUUGGGUAGGGGAGCGUUCUGUAAGCCUGCGAAGGUGGCCUGUGAGGGUUGCUGGAGGUAUCAGAAGUGCGAAUGCUGACAUAAGUAACGAUAAAGCGGGUGAAAAGCCCNCGCUUAUGCGUUGUUGGGUAGGGGAGCGUUCUGUAAGCCUGUGAAGGUGGCCUGUGAGGGUUGCUGGAGGUAUCAGAAGUGCGAAUGCUGACAUAAGUAACGAUAAAGCGGGUGAAAAGCCCGCUCGCCGGAAGACCAAGGGUUCCUGUCCAACGUUAAUCGGGGCAGGGUGAGUCGACCCCUAAGGCGAGGCCGAAAGGCGUAGUCGAUGGGAAACGGGUUAAUAUUCCCGUACUUGGUGUUACUGCGAAGGGGGGACGGAGAAGGCUAUGUUGGCCGGGCGACGGUUGUCCCGGUUUAAGCGUGUAGGUGUGUGUUCCAGGUAAAUCCGGUUCACUUUAACACUGAGGCGUGAUGACGAGGCACUACGGUGCUGAAGCAACAAAUGCCCUGCUUCCAGGAAAAGCCUCUAAGCAUCAGGUAACAUCAAAUCGUACCCCAAACCGACACAGGUGGUCAGGUAGAGAAUACCAAGGCGCUUGAGAGAACUCGGGUGAAGGAACUAGGCAAAAUGGUGCCGUAACUUCGGGAGAAGGCACGCUGACAUGUAGGUGAAGCGGUUUACCCGUGGAGCUGAAAUCAGUCGAAGAUACCAGCUGGCUGCAACUGUUUAUUAAAAACACAGCACUGUGCAAACACGAAAGUGGACGUAUACGGUGUGACGCCUGCCCGGUGCCGGAAGGUUAAUUGAUGGGGUCAGCGCAAGCGAAGCUCCUGAUCGAAGCCCCGGUAAACGGCGGCCGUAACUAUAACGGUCCUAAGGUAGCGAAAUUCCUUGUCGGGUAAGUUCCGACCUGCACGAAUGGCGUAAUGAUGGCCAGGCUGUCUCCACCCGAGACUCAGUGAAAUUGAACUCGCUGUGAAGAUGCAGUGUACCCGCGGCAAGACGGAAAGACCCCGUGAACCUUUACUAUAGCUUGACACUGAACAUUGAGCCUUGAUGUGUAGGAUAGGUGGGAGGCUUUGAAGUGUGGACGCCAGUCUGCAUGGAGCCGACCUUGAAAUACCACCCUUUAAUGUUUGAUGUUCUAACGUGGACCCGUGAUCCGGGUUGCGGACAGUGUCUGGUGGGUAGUUUGACUGGGGCGGUCUCCUCCUAAAGAGUAACGGAGGAGCACGAAGGUUGGCUAAUCCUGGUCGGACAUCAGGAGGUUAGUGCAAUGGCAUAAGCCAGCUUGACUGCGAGCGUGACGGCGCGAGCAGGUGCGAAAGCAGGUCAUAGUGAUCCGGUGGUUCUGAAUGGAAGGGCCAUCGCUCAACGGAUAAAAGGUACUCCGGGGAUAACAGGCUGAUACCGCCCAAGAGUUCAUAUCGACGGCGGUGUUUGGCACCUCGAUGUCGGCUCAUCACAUCCUGGGGCUGAAGUAGGUCCCAAGGGUAUGGCUGUUCGCCAUUUAAAGUGGUACGCGAGCUGGGUUUAGAACGUCGUGAGACAGUUCGGUCCCUAUCUGCCGUGGGCGCUGGAGAACUGAGGGGGGCUGCUCCUAGUACGAGAGGACCGGAGUGGACGCAUCACUGGUGUUCGGGUUGUCAUGCCAAUGGCACUGCCCGGUAGCUAAAUGCGGAAGAGAUAAGUGCUGAAAGCAUCUAAGCACGAAACUUGCCCCGAGAUGAGUUCUCCCUGAGACUUAGAGUCUCCUGAAGGAACGUUGAAGACGACGACGUUGAUAGGCCGGGUGUGUAAGCGCAGCGAUGCGUUGAGCUAACCGGUACUAAUGAACCGUGAGGCUUAACCUU
rnacentral:rRNA from 1 species